AAACUGAGGCUGAGGAGGAUUGUGAAGCUUCCUCAUUGAAUGUGACCAGUGCAAGCAGCAAAAUUAGCACAUACUACAGGGGUGAAUUUCCUCACUGUCUGGAGCCCUUACUGCUGCUGGGACAGCGCCACCCAGCCUCCGUCACCGGGGCAACUAGUAUCGCAGCCCUAUCCUCCAGACCUAGAUCUAGAACAUGAAGGACCAGGUACAGGAGCUACACAGGGACCUGACCAAGCGCUACUCCCUCAUCAACACAGACACCAUGGAGGAGAUACUGGACCGCUCCCUGCACAUCGACAGACAGAUCAAUCAGAUUUAAAAUAAAAUAAAAAGCUUUAAAACCCAGGUUGACGGGACCACCCUCACCACCCCAACGGCAGCAAAGUGCUUAGGCAAAGACACCUGGAUCCACGUAUCCCACUGUAAGCAAGUAGCAGAGCCAGAAGAAGAUGCUACUCCUGUUACUCCUAGAAUCCAGUAGGAGCACUCUGCUUACCCUGGGACUCGCAGAUAUUGUGGCUGUGGGCAUCCUCUGGGUGGUAGCAGACUUUGAGCCAGAGGCGGGAGAACGUGCUAGUAACCUCUCCCCGACCUCUUCAGUCCAACGAGACUGUGGAAGCCGAGAAGUAGUAGAUGACCCUGCUAGUAGAUGAGAAGUAGAUGACCCUGCUGACCUGAACCUGGACCCUGGUGACCCCGCUGAGCUGAAGAGAAGAAAAAGAGGACAUAAACAUUAUGGGGUUUCCCCCGGGUAAAACACUUUCUUACAGGUAACUAAUAAUGUUUCUGUGCUACAGAAUGUAUCAGAUUGUUGGGUUUGUGGACUGUUGACAGACAGUGCUGAGACUAUGCCAUUGCUAGCUAUACCCCUUAAUGCUUAUGUAAUAUUGAUGUGGACCAAAGCAGGUAACCUUUCAGAUUGAGAGCUUGAUUGGGUGGAGGGUGAGGUGUUUUUAUAUGAGAAGAUUUGAUUUUAAUAAUCACACCUCUCUGCCCAAGCAACCCAUCACCCUGGCAUACUCUCCCCCAGGUUAUUUGGGUUAUAUAGAAAAUGGAACUGGUCCCCAGUUGGGGGAAAGUAAUUGUAAGUAUAACCUUUCUGUAUACAAUAACCUUACCCUACCCUUACUGUUGAGAAAUGGAACAUUCCACCCUAACAUGUCAUUGAGAAUAUAUUAUAGACUCAAGAAUGGCAGUGUGUAUGCUAAACAUACUUCCUCAGUAAGUGGAACUAUGUAUGUGUGUGGGAGAAAGCCU